CCAAAGGUCCUUUUAAGGGCCACCCACUUUUCCCAUAAAAGAGCUG
rfam:Chelonia mydas contig267025, whole genome shotgun sequence.